GAUGAACGCUGGCGGCGUGCCUAAUACAUGCCAGUCGAGCGAACAGACGAGGAGCUUGCUCCUCUGACGUUAGCGGCGGACGGGUGAGUAACACGUGGAUAACCUACCUAUAAGACUGGGAUAACUUCGGGAAACCGGAGCUAAUACCGGAUAAUAUAUUGAACCGCAUGGUUCAAUAGUGAAAGACGGUUUUGCUGUCUCUUAUAGAUGGAUCCGCGCCGCAUUAGCUAGUUGGUAAGGUAACGGCUUACCAAGGCAACGAUGCGUAGCCGACCUGAGAGGGUGAUCGGCCACACUGGAACUGAGACACGGUACAGACACCUACGGGAGGCAGCAGUAGGGAAUGUUACGCAAUGGGCGAAAGCUUGACGGAGCAACGCCGCGUGAGUGAUGAAGGUCUUCGGAUCGUAAAACUCUGUUAUUAGGGAAGAAAAAAUGUGUAAGUAAAUAUGCACGUAGUGACGGUACCUAAUCAGAAAGCAACGGCUAACUACGUG
rnacentral:rRNA from 1 species